rnacentral:tRNA from 1 species
UGCAGUGUAGCUCAGCUGGUUAGAGCAGGUUCUUCAUACGGACAAGAUCGUGGGUUCGAAUCCCACCACUGUAAUCA